CACGUAGGCGGAUAUUUAAGUCAGGGGUGAAAUCCCGGGGCUCAACCUCGGAAUUGCCUUUGAUACUGGGUGUCUUGAGUAUGAGAGAGGUGUGUGGAACUCCGAGUGUAGAGGUGGAAUUCGUAGAUAUUCGGAGGAACACCAGUGGCGAAGGCGGCUUACUGGUCCAUUACUGACGCUGAGGUGCGAAAGCGUGGGGAGCAAACA
rnacentral:rRNA from 1 species